AUUGAACGCUGGCGGCAUGCCUUACACAUGCAAGUCGAACGGUAACGGGCCUUCGGGUGCCGACGAGUGGCGAACGGGUGAGUAAUGUAUCGGAACGUACCUUUCAGUGGGGAUAACGUAGCGAAAGUUACGCUAAUACCGCAUAUUCUGUGAGCAGGAAAGCAGGGGAUCGCAAGACCUUGCGCUGAUUGAGCGGCCGAUAUCAGAUUAGCUAGUUGGUGAGGUAAAGGCUCACCAAGGCGACGAUCUGUAGCGGGUCUGAGAGGAUGAUCCGCCACACUGGAACUGAGACACGGUCCAGACUCCUACGGGAGGCAGCAGUGGGGAAUUUUGGGACAAAUGGGGGGCAACCCUGAUCCAGCCAUGCCGCGUGAGUGAAGAAGGCCU
rnacentral:rRNA from 1 species